rnacentral:rRNA from 1 species
UACGUAGGGUGCAAGCAUUGUCCGGAUUUAUUGGGCGUAAAGAGCUCGUAGGCGGCUUGUCACGUCGGGUGUGAAAACUCGGGGCUCAACCCCGAGCCUGCACUCGAUACGGGCUAGCUAGAGUGUUGCAGGGGAGACUGGAAUUCCUGGUGUAGCGGUGAAAUGCGCAGAUAUCAGGAGGAACACCGGUGGCGAAGGCGGGUCUCUGGGCCGUUACUGACGCUGAGGAGCGAAAGCGUGGGGAGCGAACAGG